AGCUAGGUAGUUUAAAGGUAAAAUAAUGGCCUGUUAAGCCAUCAGACGCCAGUUCGACCCUAGCCCUAGCUG
rnacentral:tRNA from 1 species